UGGAGUACCACAUGGAGUUCUUGGAGACACUUGGAGGCAUUUGGAGCUCAAAAAUGAGUGUUUAGAGUGGUCAUUGGGCGAGCAAGGCAUGGGAGCGACCAGUCUGGAGCGACACCACCAAGUCGCUCUGAUCACCCUACUGGAGCGACCUAACCAGAGCGACAGGGAGAAGUCGCUCGCGGUUUCAUCACCCGGAGACGCGAGAACGAACCCGGAGCGACCUCUCGCAGCGACACAGCGAGGUCGCUCCCGAAGCCUAGAGCGACUUGUCGGAGCGACGGGCUGAGGUCGCUGCGCGUUUUAUUUCUACUCGAACUUGUGAUUUCUCAAGGGCCUUUUGGUCAUUUCAUUAUGCACGUUUUUAUUUUCUAAACCUAUGUUUUAAUACUCUAGGAGCCACCAAGAGGGGGAUCAUCUUUGUUCUUAGAAAAAACCACCAAAAACCUUUGGAAAGUCAUCUCUUUGAAUCAAUUGAUCAGUUUAUUAUUGAGAAUUCUGUGUUCUUAUCUAUUUCCUGUGUUUCUCUACAUGAUUAAUCUGAAAUCCAAUAUGGGUUUAAGAUGAAUCAUGGAGAUUAGUGAGUAAUCACCUUUUGAAUUCAUGGGUUAGGGAGAUUAAGGGUGAUUAGGUUAGUUCUAGGAUGUUUUAGUGUAGAUCAUUCUUGUUCCUUGCUAGUAGAGUAUUCCUAAUGCAUCUUCUGAGUUGGCCACUCAAAAGUUGAUCAAUAGGCAUUUCCCACCCGAAAGGUGUUUGAUGAAAUGCCUGAGACAACUCUCCUAGGCUUUUAGUAUACUUUGCCAAAGACAUUUGUUGUUAAAGGUGCUAAGAUAGCUAAUAGACUUGUUAGUAAUGAUUGCUUUCAUAUUAUUCAACCAAAGACAUUUGAUGUUUGAGAUAUGUUAGCAAAUGAGCAUUUAUCUAGACAUAGAGCUUGCUUAGAAUUGUGUCUAGGCUUAAGGUUGAUAGUUUGAUUGAUCAUUUGCCAUCCUUAGUUUGAUACUUGAUCACCCAAGGUCUAAUCCCUAUGCCCAUGAGUUCUCUUUUCCCUUAGUCAAGAAAGUAUCAUUUUGUUAUUGCUUUCUAGUAUUAGUAGUAGUUUAAAACCCAUUUAAAUCAUUGGUUGCACUUAGAUUAAGUGAGUACUUGCAUUCUCAGUGCUUUGAUAUCCCUCAGAACUGGUUCGACAAUCACUAUACUACAACAUUUGUCUUAGGAGCCUUGAAAACUCCUAACAUCAAAUUGGCGCCGUUGCCAAAUUCUGAGUAGAUUUAAACAUUGAGAUUUAGUCACUUGCUCGAGACUAAGUCAUUUUAAUUUUGUUUUGUUACUGAUUCUUCUUCUUCACCUACCUUUCACUUUCAGGUGUAUGAACUUGAGGAGCAGGGGUCCAUCAAACCUAGUUCCAAUAGUAGCAGACAUCAGAGCUUUUGAGAGGGAGUGUGCUAGAGCUAGAAGAGAAGAAGAACACCAGGCCCACUUGGAUAUUGAUAUGGCAGAUCCACCGCAAGGGGCAGAACACCAACCGCGGGCAGCUCGACCCAUUGGCACUUACGACCGCCCCAACAUACAUGGUCACAGAUUCGGAAUCCGAGCACCAGCUGUGGCAGCCAACAACUUUGAGGUCAAGUCAGGACUCCUCAACGUGAUCGAGAACAACAAGUAUCAUAGCUUGGCUCUGGAGGACCCAUUUGAUCACUUGGAUAGGUUCGACAGCUACUGUGGGUUGUCAAAAACCAAUGGUGUGUCCGAAGAUGCCUUAAAGCUCAAGCUAUUCCCUUUCUCUUUGGGGGAUAAGGCACGUCAGUGGGAGAAGUCUCUACCCAGCGACUCUAUCACCACUUGGGAUGAGUGCAAGAGAGCAUUCUUGGAGAAAUUCUUCUCAUCCUCAAGAACUGCUAAGCUGAGAAAUGAGAUCUCCAGUUUCCAACAGAAGAACUUGGAAGGAUUCAGUGAAGCCUGGGAGAGAUUCAAGGGCUACCAAGCUCAAUGCCCACACCAUGGUUUCUCUAAGGAGAGCUUGCUGAGCACAUUCUACCGUGGUGCUCUUCCUAAGUACAGGGCCAGACUGGAUACAGCUAGCAAUGGGUUCUUCUUGGGGAGAACUGAGGAAGAUGCAGAGGAGCUGGUUGACAACAUGGUAAAAAGUGAUGCAGUCUACAGUGGAGACCACGACAGAAGCAGUCGAACAGAUGAUAAGCAGACGAGGAAGGAGUUGAAAGCUCUACAGGAUAAGAUAGACAUCCUCCUUGCUGAUAAAGCCACACAAGAGCAGCUGCACUUUGUUGGUAACCCAAGCCAAGAUACACCACCUGUUGUCCAUGAGGUUGAGGGUUUGGAAGGUCAGGAAGAGCUGUGUUUCAUCAACAACAAUGGUAGCUGGUACAAAAAAGAGCCCAACUUUCAGUACAACAACUACCAACAGAAAUCCUAUCCCAACAACCAACAGAGUGGUUAUCCGCCUCGAAACAACCAGCAAGGCAGCUAUCAACCUCAGCAAAACCCCUCAUCUGGUUCCUCUGCUCCUUAAAAGAGCAGCACUGACACCCUGCUGAAACAAAUCUUGGAGUCUCAGACUAGAAGUGAGAAGCAUGUUGGUUAUGAGUUGAAGAACCUUCAUUCCAAGAUUGAUGGGAGCUACAAUGAGCUCAACAACAAGUUCUCACAUCUUGCUUCUACAGUCAAGAAUUUAGAGAAUCAGUUUGCUUCCAUGAAUACUCACCAGACUCGCCAGCAAGGAUCUCUACCUGGAAAAUCUGACCAAAACCCCAAGGAGGCCAAAGCUAUCACCCUUAGGAGUGGUAAGCAGUUACCUCCUACAACCCUCACCAGGGAUGCUGAGAAACUAGGUGAGGAGGUGGCCAUCAACUUAGAUGAUGAAGUGGUGAUUGUUGAUGAGAAAAUCAAUGAUGAAAUCUUGGAGAAGAUUGUGGAAGCCAAGGGUAAAGGAAAGGUUGGGGAAGCGAAGAAAACAGUGAAAGAUGGUGAAGUUCUUGCUCCAGCAAGUGAGAAUUCUUUUGUUCCUCCUCCCUAUGAACCCAAACUACCAUUCCCUGGUAGAUUCAAGAGGCAGCUGCUAGAGAAGUACAAGGCUUUGUUUGACAAGCAAAUGACUGAAGCUCAGGUUGCAAUGCCUAUCAUCGAUGCUUUCAUGUUGAUUCCUCAAUACAACAAGUUCCUGAAAGAUGUUGUAGCUGAAAAGAAGAAGGAAAUGGAAAGCAUGAUGAUUCUUACCCAUGAGUGCAGUGCCAUCAUCCAAAGGCUUGAUGUUCCAGAGAAGUUAGAGGAUCCAGGAUGCUUUACACUACCUUGUGCUCUUGGACCUAUGGUAUUUGAGAAAUGUCUCUGCGAUUUGGGAGCUAGUGUCAGUGUGAUGCCUUUGUCUGUUGCAAAGAAGCUUGGAUUCACUCAGUACAAGAAGUGUAAACUCUCUCUGGUGUUAGCUGAUCGUUCAGUGAAGUACCAUGUGGGCAUCUUAGAGGACCUACCUGUGAAGAUUGGAAGGUAUGAGAUACCUAUAGAUUUUGUGGUGCUUGAGAUGGGUGAGGAGGCUCAGGACCCAUUGAUUCUUGGAAGGCCAUUCUUAGCUACAGCAGGAGCAAUUGUUAAGGUGAAAGAGGGCACGAUUGAUCUCCAUUUGGGUAAAGGGCAUGUUCUCCACUUUGACAUCAAGGAGAAAAUGAAGAAACCAACUGUGUUCGGGCAAGUCUUCUACAUUUAAGAAAUGGGCACUCUUACUGAUGAGCACCUUGAAGAGUUACCACCUGACAACGAUGAGGAGGGAGCAUCUCCCUCUACUCAUUCUCCAUAGAAGGUAACCCACUACUUUCCCUUGUAUAUACCAUUUCGUUUUUGCAUAUUAGUUUUCUCUUUUUGGGUAUCUCUCUCUCCUUGACAACACAGAGACUGUGUAUCUCAAGUUUGGGGGAGGUACCAAGCAUUUGAUCAUGUUUGCUUUGAUUGUGUUUCAUUUGAGUCAUGCAUUGCACACCUAUUUGCAUAAAAAAAAAAAGAUUUUUCAUUUAGUUUGCAUCAUUUGCACCAUUAGGAGAGUCUAGAGCAUAUAGGUUGCAUUCACUUGCAUUGGGAGCAAUGAUUUUAAAUGCCUUGUAAAGAACACUACGUUGCACCUGAGUAGCCAUGCACCUCUCGAAAAGACUUGUAUGUUUCGAGCCUUGAAAACUCUUCUUGAAACUUGUUGAUUGUAGAAACUCAGUCUUUGAAGCCACUACAACCUUAUUUGAACUGAAUGAACUUAAUGCUUCUUGCUUAGGGUCUCUUGUGUACUGAGUCAUGGCUAUACACACUUGAGUUGUCACAUCUUUUAUGCCAUUCUUUUUUACAAACUCUAGUGGUAGACCACUCCCAAAACCUUUCCUUCCUUUUAAGCUUUCAUUGUUUGAUGAGUGAGGCCUUCUUCAGAAAGUUUUACAUGUGCAUAAUGUUGAGAGUAUCGGGAACGACAAUGCUUGAUCUUCAUUUUUGCUGGAUUGGACAUUCUAUUGUCUAGCUAUAGGUGGGAGGGUGAGCGUUGUAAUCAUGAUUUGGGAGAAAUAAAAAGGAUAGAUUCUUGUGCUCAAGUGAAUUGAUUUAUUGGGAUAAGUAGAGAACCUCCAGCUCUAGUUUUGAAAAGUCUUGGCCCCCAACCUACAAAAAAAAAAAGGGAAUAAUAAAAAAAAAAAAAAAAAAAAAAGGGGCAAAGAAAAAAAAAAAAAAAAAAGGGAAAAAAAAAAAAAAAAAAAAAAAAAAAAGGGGCUAGCAAAGUUGUUAGGAGCUGAGAGACAUUUUGAGGUUGUGAAAAAUCCCUUAUAGAUUUCAAGGAAAAAGAGCUGAUGUUUUUAGAAUCUUUUGGUGAGAGGUGUGAGUUGGGUUUGACAUUUGAGAGUGAAUGUGUAACUUAUAUGUUUGGGAAAAGGGUAGAACAAUGGAGAUUGAGCAUUGUAUGCAUGAGUUGGUCCCUUUCUUAGAUAUAUUAUGUGCAAUGUCAAGGCUACUUGUUUUGAGAGUAAACCACCUUAAAGAUCAUAUGUUUUGAACCUCUUGAAUCACUUAAAUAAAAGCAUUCCCUUACCCAACCAAAUGACUUGGACCAACUGACCAUUUGCAAGAAUUCACUUGAUAUCUUAUGCUUAAUGAAUGUGAGAGUUGGCAGAUUUGAAUGUGUGGAUGCUUGAUAAUGAGUGUAGGGACAAAAGGAGUUGAGAUAGGCCUAGAGAAGCUAGAGUGUAAUAAGAGACUGGGCUAAUUGUGUUUGCUAGUGGUGUUUCUUUUGGCUAUGAGCUCCCACCUUCAACCUCUCUCCCUAUGAGUUCUAGAAAGUUCACUUGUGGACAAGUAAAGAACAAGUUUGGGGGAGUUGAUAUCUUGCAUAUUUCUAUUGUUUUAUCCAUUCAUCCAUGUGCAUUUUGAUCAUAUAGAUUAGGAUUUAGCCAUGUUUAGGUUGCAUUUUGCAUACAUGAGUCCUUAUCAGGUAUUGGAGUACCACAUGGAGUUCUUGGAGACACUUGGAGGCAUUUGGAGCUCAAAAAUGAGUGUUUAGAGUGGUCAUUGGGCGAGCAAGGCAUGGGAGCGACCAGUCUGGAGCGACACCACCAAGUCGCUCUGAUCACCCUACUGGAGCGACCUAACCAGAGCGACAGGGAGAAGUCGCUCGCGGUUUCAUCACUCGGAGACGCGAGAACGAGCCCGGAGCGACCUCUCGGAGCGACACAGCGAGGUCGCUCCAGCUGGGAGCGACGUUAUGGGAGCGACAGGGAGAAGUCGCUCGCGGUUUCAUCACCCGGAGACGCGAGAACGAACCCGGAGCGACCUCUCGCAGCGACACAGCGAGGUCGCUCCCGAAGCCUAGAGCGACUUGUCGGAGCGACGGGCUGA
rnacentral:lncRNA from 1 species